GACGAAAAAUGAAUACCAAGUCUCAAGAGUGAACACGUAAUUCAUUACGAAGUUUAAUUCAUUGAGCAUCAAACUUUUAAAUUGAAGAGUUUGAUCAUGGCUCAGAUUGAACGCUGGCGGCAGGCCUAACACAUGCAAGUCGAACGGUAACAGGAAGCAGCUUGCUGCUUUGCUGACGAGUGGCGGACGGGUGAGUAAUGUCUGGGAAACUGCCUGAUGGAGGGGGAUAACUACUGGAAACGGUGGCUAAUACCGCAUAACGUCGCAAGACCAAAGAGGGGGACCUUCGGGCCUCUUGCCAUCAGAUGUGCCCAGAUGGGAUUAGCUUGUUGGUGAGGUAACGGCUCACCAAGGCGACGAUCCCUAGCUGGUCUGAGAGGAUGACCAGCCACACUGGAACUGAGACACGGUCCAGACUCCUACGGGAGGCAGCAGUGGGGAAUAUUGCACAAUGGGCGCAAGCCUGAUGCAGCCAUGCCGCGUGUAUGAAGAAGGCCUUCGGGUUGUAAAGUACUUUCAGCGGGGAGGAAGGUGUUGUGGUUAAUAACCGCAGCAAUUGACGUUACCCGCAGAAGAAGCACCGGCUAACUCCGUGCCAGCAGCCGCGGUAAUACGGAGGGUGCAAGCGUUAAUCGGAAUUACUGGGCGUAAAGCGCACGCAGGCGGUCUGUCAAGUCGGAUGUGAAAUCCCCGGGCUCAACCUGGGAACUGCAUUCGAAACUGGCANNNNNNNNNNNNNNNNNNNNGAAUUCCAGGUGUAGCGGUGAAAUGCGUAGAGAUCUGGAGGAAUACCGGUGGCGAAGGCGGCCCCCUGGACAAAGACUGACGCUCAGGUGCGAAAGCGUGGGGAGCAAACAGGAUUAGAUACCCUGGUAGUCCACGCCGUAAACGAUGUCUACUUGGAGGUUGUGCCCUUGAGGCGUGGCUUCCGGAGCUAACGCGUUAAGUAGACCGCCUGGGGAGUACGGCCGCAAGGUUAAAACUCAAAUGAAUUGACGGGGGCCCGCACAAGCGGUGGAGCAUGUGGUUUAAUUCGAUGCAACGCGAAGAACCUUACCUGGUCUUGACAUCCACGGAAGUUUUCAGAGAUGAGAAUGUGCCUUCGGGAACCGUGAGACAGGUGCUGCAUGGCUGUCGUCAGCUCGUGUUGUGAAAUGUUGGGUUAAGUCCCGCAACGAGCGCAACCCUUAUCCUUUGUUGCCAGCGGUCCGGCCGGGAACUCAAAGGAGACUGCCAGUGAUAAACUGGAGGAAGGUGGGGAUGACGUCAAGUCAUCAUGGCCCUUACGACCAGGGCUACACACGUGCUACAAUGGCGCAUACAAAGAGAAGCGACCUCGCGAGAGCAAGCGGACCUCAUAAAGUGCGUCGUAGUCCGGAUUGGAGUCUGCAACUCGACUCCAUGAAGUCGGAAUCGCUAGUAAUCGUGGAUCAGAAUGCCACGGUGAAUACGUUCCCGGGCCUUGUACACACCGCCCGUCACACCAUGGGAGUGGGUUGCAAAAGAAGUAGGUAGCUUAACCUUCGGGAGGGCGCUUACCACUUUGUGAUUCAUGACUGGGGUGAAGUCGUAACAAGGUAACCGUAGGGGAACCUGCGGUUGGAUCACCUCCUUACCUUAAAGAAGCGUACUUUGCAGUGCUCACACAGAUUGUCUGAUGAAAA
rnacentral:rRNA from 1 species